GACGAACCGUGCAAACGUUGUUCGGAAUCACUGGGCUUAAAGGGCGCGUAGGCGGCUCGCCAAGUCGGGGGUGAAAUCUUUCGGCUCAACCGGAAAAGUGCCUUCGAUACUAGCGGGCUUGAGCGAGGUAGGGGCAUGUGGAACUUCCGGUGGAGCGGUGAAAUGCGUUGAUAUCGGAAGGAACGCUGGUGGCGAAAGCGACGUGCUGGACCUCUUCUGACGCUGAGGCGCGAAAGCUAGGGUAGCGAACGGG
rnacentral:rRNA from 1 species